ACAGGGGAUUCACCAAGGAAAAUGCUAUUCACAUCCUCACGAAGAACUGAUGAGAUUCUGAAUAUAGAUGGAAGCAUAAUUUUCUCACAUUCUUUUUGGUUAAAGAGAUCUGCAGGAUGAAUUUUGAAAGAUCAGGAGAUCAAGUAUCCAGGCAUCCUAAUGUCUCAAAGUCCAGGAGUGACCUUCAGAGUGACAUUUAGGAACUAUCCCAGUGACUCUUUGACAAAGACUCAUCUGGACGUGAACUUGAUGGGAACAAUGUUAUAUAGAAACUGUGUGACGAGUUAGUCUGCUCUUUCCCAGAAAUCCAG